GGGGAGGUGACCACAGGUAAAUUCAGUUUCCUGCACGCUGGCGCACACACCACACUGCCUCUCCGGUCCUGACAGAUGCUGCUUGCUAGUCCUGGGUGCUUCGUAGCUAUAUUGAUUACUGCAGUUCAGCAACAGGUGAAGGAAAACACGUUUUCCCAUAAAAACUGAACAGUCUUUCAAAAGAAACCCCCAAAAGCAGGGGCCAGGGAGCGGGAGAAGAGGAUUUUAUUUUUCAAACUUGGGAGUUUGUUUCUCCACAGAAACAGGGCUAUUUUCGGUUAAAACACUGACCUGCAUCCUGAGCGCGACCAGUAUUUAAAAUACAAAAUUAUGUUUUCUCUUCCACCGCUCAAGACGCAAGGAACAGGCCGGCGCUACAGAGAGGCACCGAGAGCUGAACACCCCUCUGCUCCCGAAGCCUCCCGGCUCCGAACGGGGGAUUUCCACCGUCCUCCGGCUCCAGCGGUGCCACUGGCCAGCCCGAGGCGGUGGGGAAGACCGGAGCAAACCCGAAGCCCGCACUAACCGGGUCCUCCCCCUCAUGCCAGCGGCUUCUCCGGCUGAAGGGCGGGUGGUCCCGGCCUGGCUCGGAGGCGCCGCCGCAGCUGCGUUCGGCGGGUUUGAAACGCACGUCAACACCUGAGGACACGGAUUUCAAAGCCCCCACACGCUCGAUGGCUUCCCCAAGUCCGCAGCCUCGGUUGGGUUUCCUUCCCACCACCUAACAGCCCUUCCACAUCAGUCUCAAAGUCAACGCUACUGCUGUCAGUUCAGAGGCUGAAUUGCUUGGUUUUGAGGCUGUAAUUACAGAUUUUAAAAAAGCAUGUUCCUGAGGUGAAAGUAUUCUCAAGAGCUUGCAGAAAUGACUGGUCACUAAAAGCACUAAGUAGAAGACUGGCAGAAGUUCUACCACACUUGCAUUCAGAAAUAAAGAUUUCUUUCCCAGUG